AACGAACGCUGGCGGCAUGCCUAACACAUGCAAGUCGAACGAGACCUUCGGGUCUAGUGGCGCACGGGUGCGUAACGCGUGGGAACCUGCCCUUAGGUUCGGAAUAACUCCCCGAAAGGGGUGCUAAUACCGGAUAAUGUCUUCGGACCAAAGAUUUAUCGCCUUUGGUUGGGCCCGCGUUGGAUUGGCUAGUUGUUAGGGUAAAAGCCUACCAAGGCGACGAUCCAUAGCUGGUCGGAGAGGAUGAUCCGCCACACGGGGACUGAGACACGGCCCAGACCCCUAGGGGGGGCAGCGGGGGGGAAUAUGGAAAAGGGGGCGAAAGCCUGAACCAGCAUGGCCGGGGGAGGAAAGAGGGCCUGAGGGUUGAAAAGCUUUUUUACCCGGGAGGAAAAUGACAGUACCGGGAAAAAAAGCCCCGGCUAACCCCGUG
rnacentral:rRNA from 1 species